AGGGAUAUGUUUUUCCGAGUCAUAUUGUCUAACGUGCUAUACCAUGAGAAUAUGACCUAUGGGCAUAAGAAGAAAUUCUUAUACCUCCCGUGCUUGGAAAGGAAAAAUCAUCAUUGACAA
rnacentral:ncRNA from 1 species